rnacentral:rRNA from 1 species
CCUGCGGAAGGAUCAUUACCGAGUGCGGGCCCUCUGGGUCCAACCUCCCAUCCGUGUCUAUCUGUACCCUGUUGCUUCGGCGUGGCCACGGCCCGCCGGAGACUAACAUUUGAACGCUGUCUGAAGUUUGCAGUCUGAGUUUUUAGUUAAACAAUCGUUAAAACUUUCAACAACGGAUCUCUUGGUUCCGGCAUCGAUGAAGAACGCAGCGAAAUGCGAUAAUUAAUGUGAAUUGCAGAAUUCAGUGAAUCAUCGAGUCUUUGAACGCACAUUGCGCCCCCUGGUAUUCCGGGGGGCAUGCCUGUCCGAGCGUCAUUGCUGCCCUCAAGCACGGCUUGUGUGUUGGGCUUCCGUCCCUGGCAACGGGGACGGGCCCAAAAGGCAGUGGCGGCACCAUGUCUGGUCCUCGAGCGUAUGGGGCUUUGUCACCCGCUCCCGUAGGUCCAGCUGGCAGCUAGCCUCGCAACCAAUCUUUUUAACCAGGUUGACCUCGGAUCAGGUAGGGAUACCCGCUGAACUUAAGCAUAUCAAUAGCCGGGAGGAAGAUCAUUACCGAGUGCGGGC